UUAAGGUUAUGAUGCGCUUAAAUGAUACCCAUGUUGUGCCAGUUAUCAAGUAUACGCAUUGUAAUCAGUCUUAUGUUUUCACGUACUUUAUUUCCUAAGACCUAAGCCUGAGAAACAGAGACAAAAAGAGAGAGUUUUGAGAGAAUUGAGAUUGAGGAAGAAGAUUUGGAGAAUCAAAUGAGGGUUUCUUAUCAUCUAAACUAGAAUCAAAGGGUG
rnacentral:lncRNA from 1 species